rnacentral:rRNA from 1 species
AACGAACGCUGGCGGCAUGCCUAACACAUGCAAGUCGAACGAGACCUUCGGGUCUAGUGGCGCACGGGUGCGUAACGCGUGGGAACCUGCCCUUAGGUUCGGAAUAACUCCCCGAAAGGGGUGCUAAUACCGGAUAAUGUCUUCGGAUCAAGGAUUUAUCGCCUUUGGAUGGGCCCGCGUUGGAUUAGCUAGUUGGUAGGGUAAAAGCCUACCAAGGCGACGAUCCAUAGCUGGUCUGAGAGGAUGAUCAGCCACACUGGGACUGAGACACGGCCCAGACUCCUACGGGAGGCAGCAGUGGGGAAUAUUGGACAAUGGGCGAAAGCCUGAUCCAGCAAUGCCGCGUGAGUGAUGAAGGCCUUAGGGUUGUAAAGCUCUUUUACCCGGGAUGAUAAUGACAGUACCGGGAGAAUAAGCUCCGGCUAACUCCGUG